rnacentral:rRNA from 1 species
CCUACGGGAGGCAGCAGUGGGGAAUAUUGGGCAAUGGGCGCAAGCCUGACCCAGCAACGCCGCGUGAAGGAAGAAGGCUUUCGGGUUGUAAACUUCUUUUGUCAGGGACGAAGCAAGUGACGGUACCUGACGAAUAAGCCACGGCUAACUACGUGCCAGCAGCCGCGGUAAUACGUAGGUGGCAAGCGUUAUCCGGAUUUACUGGGUGUAAAGGGAGUGUAGGCGGGGAGGCAAGUCAGAUGUGAAAACCACGGGCUCAACCUGAGGCUUGCAUUUGAAACUGUUUUUCUUGAGGGCUGGAGAGGCAAUCGGAAUUCCGUGUGUAGCGGUGAAAUGCGUAGAUAUACGGAGGAACACCAGUGGCGAAGGCGGAUUGCUGGACAGUAACUGACGCUGAGGCGCGAAAGCGUGGGGAGCAAACAGGAUUAGAUACCCGUGUAGUC